rnacentral:lncRNA from 1 species
UUCAAACUUCUAUUUUAGUUUUAUAGAUUUGCACUGAUUAAUCCGAAGAUUUGACGACCAAUUUCGAAUAAUUGAAUCAAACCCUUCCUAAGGAAAAAAUAAGUCAUCCCCCGCGAAUUCUCUCGAUUUGAAACUUUCAACUAGUAAAUACUUUGAAAAACACACAAUAGGGGAGGUUCAUCUCGAAUACAAUAAUUAAUAAAAUAAGCAACAAGUAUCCACCAAGAAAAACUCGUGAGCUAUCCUGGUGAAAUUUGAUACUCUUGCAGCAUGGUAUAGAAAAACGGAUGAAGGGGGAGGUGGAAGCCCGCCUCUAGUAAAUGCAAAGGAAACAAAAAGCUUUCUUCAAUAUCGUUUAAUCUUCUCUCACCUUUUUUAAUAUCAAAAUCGAAGGUGAAAUUUGACAACUUAAUUCUGCAAAUAAAAAGAUGCCAAAUCAUCUCCACCUUAGUCAUCGUACACCAAUGUAUGUUCUCCUCUAUGAGAACACAAGCAUUGCGCUGCCUCUUGCAACCACCACCUUCAACCUCCACCCUAAAUCAACAACCCUGGUUGCCACGGCUCGUUCGACCACCCCACCCUAUUAUAACUCUAGCCAUAUUAAACAAGCAAAUGCAAAACAAUAUGAGUAAUAGUCGAUUAGCUUACCUAUUAGCAGAUAAUUCCCUCGUUCUGCCAAACAUACACGAUGCCCAGAUCGAAUAGUUCCAAAAAAUUGACAAGGAAGAGAACAACAACAAACUGGGAUAGGAAGAAAAUAUUUGGAAAGAAAAAUUAAAACAAAACAAGAUAUGGAAACAAAAUAUUUAUGAAAAGUAAUUUAAGGAUUCAAGCAAAAUAAGGAAAUGAAAUAUUUAUGAAAAGUAAUUUAGAGAUUCAGGCAAAAAAAUUCUCCCUAAAAAGGGAAAAAAUCAAUUAAAUUUUAGGAAAACAAAUAAAAGAAUAAAAUCCUCAAACAGAAUUUAAGGAGAAGCAAUCUAGGGUUUAAAAAAUUAUUUUACCUUAAGGAAACGAACCGUCUGAAACUUACUCAAUAAGUCUCUACUAAAAAAAUGCCUGAUAAGCCCCCAUUUAUACGAUCUACAUGUGUAAGUUGGUCUCAGAAGGGCCAUUUUAUAACCCUUCUUUGACAAAGUGUGGGACAUAUUGUUAUAGAGUACUUUAGAAAUUGAAAAUCGACCCAGUCACAUGAAACAAAAGGCCUGAUCCAAUUUGCGAGUAGCCAGGGCCUCGCGAAGUGCCAACACCUCCUUGACUUACAAAGUGCCAAGGUGGUCCCUCGCCACCUCGCUAAG